rnacentral:rRNA from 1 species
CGACGUGAAUGAUGAAGGUCUUGGUAUUGUAAAAUUAUUUUAUUAGGGACGAGGGGCAMUAAGAGGAAAUGCUUAGUGAUUGACUGUACCUAUUCAAUAAGUAACGGCAAACUAUGUGCCAGCAGCAGCAGGUAAUACAUAGGUUACAAGCGUUAUCCGGAUUUACUGGGAGUAAAGGGAGAGCAGGCGGAUUAACAAGUCUAGUGUGAAAUGCAGUCCUUAACAUCAGUCCGCAUUGGAAACUGUUAGUAUGGAGUGUGAUAGGGAGUUAUGGAACUCCAUUUGGAGCGGUGGAAUGCGUAGAUAUAUGGAAGAACACGAGCGGCGAAAGCGAGAACAUAGGUCACAAUUGACGCUUAGGCUGGAAAGUGUGGGGAGCAAAUACGAUCAGAUACCCUAGUCGUGCUCGCCCUAACCGAUGGUUAUUAGUUGUUGGUACGGACUACUAGUAACUAAAGCUAACGCA